rnacentral:rRNA from 1 species
GACGAACGCUGGCGGCGUGCUUAACACAUGCAAGUCGAACGGAAAGGCCCUGCUUUUGUGGGGUGCUCGAGUGGCGAACGGGUGAGUAACACGUGAGUAACCUGCCCUUGACUUUGGGAUAACUUCAGGAAACUGGGGCUAAUACCGGAUAGGAGCUCCUGCUGCAUGGUGGGGGUUGGAAAGUUUCGGCGGUUGGGGAUGGACUCGCGGCUUAUCAGCUUGUUGGUGGGGUAGUGGCUUACCAAGGCUUUGACGGGUAGCCGGCCUGAGAGGGUGACCGGCCACAUUGGGACUGAGAUACGGCCCAGACUCCUACGGGAGGCAGCAGUGGGGAAUAUUGCACAAUGGGCGGAAGCCUGAUGCAGCAACGCCGCGUGCGGGAUGACGGCCUUCGGGUUGUAAACCGCUUUCGCCUGUGACGAAGCGUGAGUGACGGUAAUGGGUAAAGAAGCACCGGCUAACUACGUGCCAGCAGCCGCGGUGAUACGUAGGGUGCGAGCGUUGUCCGGAUUUAUUGGGCGUAAAGGGCUCGUAGGUGGUUGAUCGCGUCGGAAGUGUAAUCUUGGGGCUUAACCCUGAGCGUGCUUUCGAUACGGGUUGACUUGAGGAAGGUAGGGGAGAAUGGAAUUCCUGGUGGAGCGGUGGAAUGCGCAAAUAUCAUGAGGAACACCAGUGGCGAAGGCGGUUCUCUGGGCCUUUCCUGACGCUGAGGAGCGAAAGCGUGGGGAGCGAACAGGCUUAGAUACCCUGGUAGUCCACGCUGUAAACGGUGGGUACUAGGUGUGGGGUCCAUUCCACGGGUUCCGUGCCGUAGCUAACGCUUUAAGUACCCCGCCUGGGGAGUACGGCCGCAAGGCUAAAACUCAAAGGAAUUGACGGGGCCCCGCACAAGCGGCGGAGCAUGCGGAUUAAUUCGAUGCAACGCGUAGAACCUUACCUGGGUUUGACAUGGAUCGGGAGUGCUCAGAGAUGGGUGUGCCUCUUUUGGGGUCGGUUCACAGGUGGUGCAUGCCUGUCGUCAGCUCGUGUCGUGAGAUGUUGGGUUAAGUCCCGCAACGAGCGCAACCCUUGUUCACUGUUGCCAGCACGUUAUGGUGGGGACUCAGUGGAGACCGCCGGGGUCAACUCGGAGGAAGGUGGGGAUGACGUCAAGUCCUCAUGCCCCUUAUGUCCAGGGCUUCACGCAUGCUACAAUGGCUGGUACAGAGAGUGGCGAGCCUGUGAGGGUGAGCGAAUCUCGGAAAGCCGGUCUCAGUUCGGAUUGGGGUCUGCAACUCGACCUCAUGAAGUCGGAGUCGCUAGUAAUCGCAGAUCAGCAACGCUGCGGUGAAUAAGUUCCCGGG